rnacentral:misc_RNA from 1 species
AAAAUGCGAUAAGUAGUAUGAAUUGCAGAAUUUAGUGAAUUAUUGAAUCUUUAAACGCACAUUGCGCCCUUUAGUAUUUCUUAGGGCAUGCCUGUUUAAGCGUUAUUUAAACCCUUAAGCUUAGCUUAGUGUUAGGCGUCUGUCCCUCCUACUAUGUAGGCGGGGACUUGCCUUAAAUUGAUUGGCGGCUAGUACGUUGGCUUCGAGCGCAGCAGAAACGUAAACUCGGGCCCUAGCAAGCUAGCUCCUAUAAGCUAUACUCCUAAUUUUAACUUUAGAUUAGGUAGAGAUACCUGCUGAACUUAA